UCGAACGUCAGUAGCGUGACAUAGUAAAUCAAAUAAAUACAAGUAGAGAGUCAGUGGUUGGUGAAAACUGAUGGUUUGUUUUUUUGAAUCCCUCACGCGAAGUAAACAAUGAACCCAUUUGGCCCAAAUUGUUUCGGAAUCAGUCCGUUAUCAAACUGUUAUUGAGUGUAGAUACAUGUUGUAGUGUGUCUAAAUUUGGGUGGUACCGCGAAUUUUCGAGCCAUUUCGUCCCAUAA
rnacentral:ncRNA from 1 species